GCCUUGGUGGCUCAGGUAGUAGAGCGGCACUCUCGUAAAGUGCAGGUCGGGGGUGCAAAUCCCUCCCAGGGCUCCA
rnacentral:tRNA from 1 species